UACGGAGGGUGCGAGCGUUGUCCGGAAUCACUGGGCGUAAAGGGCGCGUAGGCGGCCUGAUAAGUAGGGGGUGAAAUCCUGCGGCUUAACCGCAGGGCUGCCUUCUAAACUGUCAGGCUCGAGCACAGUAGAGGCAGGUGGAAUUCCCGGUAUAGCGGUGGAAUGCGUAGAGAUCGGGAAGAACAUCAGUGGCGAAGGCGGCCUGCUGGGCUGUUGCUGACGCUGAGGCGCGACAGCGUGGGGAGCAAACAGG
rnacentral:rRNA from 1 species